UCCCAGGGGUCUCAGUGGUAAAGAACCUGUCUGCCGACACAGGAGACGCAGGAGACCCAGGUUCAAUCCCUGGGUUGAGAA
rnacentral:tRNA from 1 species